rnacentral:rRNA from 1 species
ACCUGGUCUUGACAUCCACGGAAGUUUUCAGAGAUGAGAAUGUGCCUUCGGGAACCGUGAGACAGGUGCUGCAUGGCUGUCGUCAGCUCGUGUUGUGAAAUGUUGGGUUAAGUCCCGCAACGAGCGCAACCCUUAUCCUUUGUUGCCAGCGGUCCGGCCGGGAACUCAAAGGAGACUGCCAGUGAUAAACUGGAGGAAGGUGGGGAUGACGUCAAGUCAUCAUGGCCCUUACGACCAGGGCUACACACGUGCUACAAUGGCGCAUACAAAGAGAAGCGACCUCGCGAGAGCAAGCGGACCUCAUAAAGUGCGUCGUAGUCCGGAUUGGAGUCUGCAACUCGACUCCAUGAAGUCGGAAUCGCUAGUAAUCGUGGAUCAGAAUGCCACGGUGAAUACGUUCCCGGGCCUUGUACACACCGCCCGUCACACCAUGGGAGUGGGUUGCAAAAGAAGUAGGUAGCUUAACCUUCGGGAGGGCGCUUACCACUUUGUGAUUCAUGACUGGGGUGAAGUCGUAACAAGGUAACCGUAGGGGAACCUGCGGUUGGAUCACCUCCUUA